rnacentral:piRNA from 1 species
UNGCAUGGUACUUGAUACGUAAUAAGAG